rnacentral:rRNA from 1 species
AUUGAACGCUGGCGGCAGGCCUAACACAUGCAAGUCGAACGAGUGGCGGACGGGUGAGUAAUGUCUGGGAAACUGCCUGAUGGAGGGGGAUAACUACUGGAAACGGUAGCUAAUACCGCAUACCAUCGGAUGUGCCCAGAUGGGAUGAGCUGGUGGGUGGGGUAAAGGCACACCUAGGCGACGAUCUCUAGCUGGUCUGAGAGGAUGACCAGCCACACUGGAACUGGGACACGGUCCAGACUCCUACGGGAGGCAGCAGUGGGGAAUAUUGCACAAUGGGGGCAAGCCUGAUGCAGCCAUGCCGCGUGUAUGAAGACGGCCUUCGGGUUGUAAAGUACUUUCAGCGGGGAGGCGUUACCCGCAGAAGAAGCACCGGCUAACUCCGUGCCAGCAGCCGCGGUAAUUC